CUAAAUCAACACUACGCAGUAGUAGGUAACGCCGGCCUCAGUCUCUCCGCAGCGCUCUCAAAAAGGGGUUUGGAAGGAGGUUUCGUUCGGGUCCCAGUUUCUGGGUUUCCCACGGCGGUUGAAACCUAAGUGAUCUGCGACCGCGCCGACUGCGGCUCGGGAGGCUUGGGUACAGCGGCGGCCACCAAACGAUCACAGGCGCUACGACUCUCAGCCUCUGGGGCUCCGGGAUUCAGGCUGCGGGCGUCCCCCGCCCCUCCCAAACGCGGACCCUUCCUUCCCUGUCCCUGGCUCUCCGCACCUGAACUUCGGGGGAGCCCGCGCCGCCAAACUUUCCGCCGACUUGCAGCGAACUCCGGCCCCGGCCGCGCACCGGGCCCCGGGGGAGGAGAGGGAGGUAGGCGGGGAAGGGGAGGGGGCCGGCCUCCGGGGGGGUCGGGGGAGGGCCGUGGCCCGACACCUACCGGCUCUCUGAGUCGUCCAAGCCGCCACCGCCGCCGCCGCGGGGACGAGGGGGAGGGGCGGGGCGGUGAGCCGCGCUCCGCUCUAGGCACCGCCGCCGCCGUGCGCUCCGCUCCAGCUCCGCCGGCCGCUGAGCCCGGGUCCGGAGCCGGAGUCAAGCUGCCUCGGCUGGCCCGAGGCGGGGAGGGGGGGGGAGCCUGCAGCACCUGCCCCUCCUCCCCCUCCCCGCGGCCCAAAUUAAAAAACAACAAAAAGCAA